GAGUUUGAUCCUGGCUCAGGAUGAACGCUGGCGGCGUGCCUAAUACAUGCAAGUCGAGCGAACAGACGAGGAGCUUGCUCCUCUGACGUUAGCGGCGGACGGGUGAGUAACACGUGGGUAACCUACCUAUAAGACUGGGAUAACUUCGGGAAACCGGAGCUAAUACCGGAUAAUAUUUCGAACCGCAUGGUUCGAUAGUGAAAGAUGGCCUUGCUAUCACUUAUAGAUGGACCUGCGCCGUAUUAGCUAGUUGGUAAGGUAACGGCUUACCAAGGCAACGAUACGUAGCCGACCUGAGAGGGUGAUCGGCCACACUGGAACUGAGACACGGUCCAGACUCCUACGGGAGGCAGCAGUAGGGAAUCUUCCGCAAUGGGCGAAAGCCUGACGGAGCAACGCCGCGUGAGUGAUGAAGGUCUUCGGAUCGUAAAACUCUGUUAUUAGGGAAGAACAUACGUGUAAGUAACUGUGCACGUCUUGACGGUACCUAAUCAGAAAGCCACGGCUAACUACGUGCCAGCAGCCGCGGUAAUACGUAGGUGGCAAGCGUUAUCCGGAAUUAUUGGGCGUAAAGCGCGCGUAGGCGGUUUUUUAAGUCUGAUGUGAAAGCCCACGGCUCAACCGUGGAGGGUCAUUGGAAACUGGAAAACUUGAGUGCAGAAGAGGAAAGUGGAAUUCCAUGUGUAGCGGUGAAAUGCGCAGAGAUAUGGAGGAACACCAGUGGCGAAGGCGACUUUCUGGUCUGUAACUGACGCUGAUGUGCGAAAGC
rnacentral:rRNA from 1 species